rnacentral:rRNA from 1 species
GUCUCCGUUGGUGAACCAGCGGAGGGAUCAUUGCUGGAACGCGCCCCUGGCGCACCCAGAAACCCUUUGUGAACUUAUACCUUACUGUUGCCUCGGCGCAGGCCGUCCCCUAACGGGGUCCCUUUUGUCUCAAAAGGAGCAGCCGGCCGGUGGCCAAAUUAACUCUGUUUUUAAACUGAAACUCUGAGUAAAAAACAUAAAUGAAUCAAAACUUUCAACAACGGAUCUCUUGGUUCUGGCAUCGAUGAAGAACGCAGCGAAAUGCGAUAAGUAAUGUGAAUUGCAGAAUUCAGUGAAUCAUCGAAUCUUUGAACGCACAUUGCGCCCUCUGGUAUUCCGGAGGGCAUGCCUGUUCGAGCGUCAUUUCAACCCUCAAGCCUGGCUUGGUGUUGGGGCACUGCUUUCUAACGAGAGCAGGCCCUGAAAUAUAGUGGCGAGCUCGCCAGGACUCCGAGCGUAGUAGUUAAACCCUCGCUUUGGAAGGCCAGGCGGUGCCCUGCCGUUAAACCCCAACUUCUGAAAAUUUGACCUCGGAUCAGGUAGGAAUACCCGCUGAACUUAA